GACGAACGCUGGCGGCGUGCUUAACACAUGCAAGUCGAACGGAAAGGCCCUGCUUGCAGGGUACUCGAGUGGCGAACGGGUGAGUAACACGUGGGUUAUCUGCCCUGCACUUCGGGAUAAGCCUGGGAAACUGGGUCUAAUACCGGAUAGGAGCCAUUUUUAGUGUGAUGGUUGGAAAGUUUUUUCGGUGUAGGAUGAGCUCGCGGCCUAUCAGCUUGUUGGUGGGGUAAUGGCCUACCAAGGCGGCGACGGGUAGCCGGCCUGAGAGGGUGGACAGCCACAUUGGGACUGAGAUACGGCCCAGACUCCUACGGGAGGCAGCAGUGGGGAAUAUUGCACAAGGGGCGCAAGCCUGAUGCAGCGACGCCGCGUGGGGGAUGACGACCUUCGGGUUGUAAACUCCUUUCGCUAGGGACGAAGCUUUUUGUGACGGUACCUAGAGAAGAAGCACCGGCUAACUACGUG
rnacentral:rRNA from 1 species